GAAAUGCGAUAAGUAAUGUGAAUUGCAGAAUUCCGUGAAUCAUCGAAUCUUUGAACGCACAUUGCGCCCUCUGGUAUUCCGGGGGGCAUGCCUGUCCGAGCGUCAUUGCGAACCCCUCAAGCACAGCUUGUGUGAUGGGCCCUCCCGCGUCUUGGUCGUCAAGACGGGCCCGAAAUGCAGUGGCGGCUUCGCGGUUAUCCGAUCAGCCAGAGCGUAUGGGGACUUUCUCUCUGUCACACGCCCGCGGCGCGGACCGACGCCUGUCGACCUUCAUUCAUCGUUUUCUCGGUUGACCUCGGAUCAGGUAGGGAUACCCGCUGAACUUAAGC
rnacentral:misc_RNA from 1 species